UCAAGAUCGGCAUGAGAGCGGCGGAGACUCACCUUGGCCGAAAAUGGGGAGAAAAAGCUCACCCGUUCGGACAUGGGGACCCCUUUAUAGGUGGCUGGCCAGGCCACUUUCGGGGGCCUAACGUGCCUCCGCAUGCAUGCCAUGUUCAGCGGCCGAACAUAAGGUUCGGCAGCCGAACAUAAGGUUCGGCGGCCGAACCUGGACUUCCCUCACUUAUGCCUUCGGGGG
rnacentral:lncRNA from 1 species